GAAGCAUAGCUCAGCUGGUUCAGAGCGUCUGCCUUACAAGCAGAGGGUCCGGGGUUCGAAUCCCUGUGCUUCC
rnacentral:tRNA from 1 species